CAGCCGCCGCGGUAAUACGUAGGUGGCAAGCGUUGUCCGGGAUUAUUGGGCGUAAAGGGCUCGCAGGCGGUUUCUUAAGUCUGAUGUGAAAGCCCCCGGCUCAACCGGGGAGGGUCAUUGGAAACUGGGAAACUUGAGUGCAGAAGAGGAGAGUGGAAUUCCACGUGUAGCGGUGAAAUGCGCAGAGAUGUGGAGGAACACCAGUGGCGAAGGCGACUCUCUGGUCUGUAACUGACGCUGAGGAGCGAAAGCGUGGGGAGCGAACAGGAUUAGAUACCCCGGUAGUCCCUGUCUCUUAUAC
rnacentral:rRNA from 1 species